rnacentral:lncRNA from 1 species
AAGGAGUGCAAGUAGCAAGCAAUAGCCCACCCAGUUGGAGACAAAAAAGAAGGGUGUCAGUGUUCCCACUGUUAAAAAACAAAAAAAAAUCACCCUGGACACCUCUGAGAAUUAUACAAGGGGAUGUACACAGCCCUGCUUUAUUUGAGUUCAAAAGGAAGGUGGGUUUUGAAAGAAGAACAAGGAGAGUAGAUCUCUCUGGAUCUUCUGAUGCUCACAGCAAAGAGCUCAAGAUGAAGAAAGAUGAUACGAUGUGAUGGACAACAGAGACUUAUAUGGUGGGGUCUGGGCUGGUCUUUCUGAAGCUAAGACUGGCAGGAUGAGCAGGAGUUUGCCAGACAAAGAGGAGUGGAGUUGUUUUCCAAACACAUCUCAGCACAAAGUGUUGUCUUUGCUGGGAGCUGAAAAAAGAUAGUGUGGGCAGAGACCAUUAGGUGAGACGCUUGAUAUGAGAUACAACCUCAACAGGUGGAAGAAGAUCAUGAGAGAUGAAGAGAGGAAUAUAGUACAGCAGAGAGGACACAGAAGCUGACGUCAGGGUGUCUCAGUUUGAAACCAGUGGCCACCCUGUUCCUCUCCCAUGUGGUCCCAUCAUGGGCCUCUAGGGUCUGGGAUAAGAGGUUAAUGAAUAUCUCAUACCCUAAGCAGGGGUGGUCCCUGCACUUUAGCAAAAAGUUAAGGAACUAGGGAAAAGAGAUGGAAAUAAUAAAGAGAUGGGACAAAGACUUUGAAGACCAAAGCCCCUGGGCUAUUCUCUUUUUUAAAUUUUUUUAUUUAAAUUUUCAUUUAUUUUUAUCAAGAUAGGGUCUCACUAUGUUGCCCAGGUUGGUCUCAAACUUUUGGCCUAAAGCAAUCCUCCCACCUUGGCCUCCCAAUGUGCUGGGAUUACAAUGUGAGCCACCACGUCCAGCCUCCUGGGAUAUUUCUCAAUGAAACAUUGGAUGCCAAGAUUGGUUUUGUGCCACAUGCCAAUUUCACAGAAGCCAGUCUAUGAGCCACCAGCUCUACUCAGCAAUUACAGUUUCUGGAACUUUGGCUAAAUUCCUGUAGAUGCACCACUGCUUGUGGCCUGACUCUUUGCCACCCAAGUGCGCUCAGCCUCCCCUGGGGAGUCUGCCAGGCUUGCAUGGCUCCCACUGCACUUGCUGUGCUGGGACCGAAAACAGUUUUUGUGCCCCUAGCUUAACUCCACUGGAUUCAUAGAGGCUUUGGCCUCCUCAAUGGCUGUCCUGGGACAGGGAGGCUGGUUAGCACAAUUAACACAACCUGGUCAUGCAAGGCAUUGAUGGUCCGUAACAUGAACUUUGACCAGUAGGAGACAGAGAAUGGAAAAAAGCCAGCAGAUAAAUCAUCUGGCCUUCCUCCCCUAUGACAGACUGUUCUGAGCCACAGUGUUUCACAUGUCUUCCUGGAGAUGUCCCACAUGACUUGAGCAACCAGCUGGAGCUCUGGAGAAACUGUGGCCAUCCUGAGGAAGAAACAGGCCCAGAGAAGUUGGGUAACUCAUCAAAGGUCACAGAGCUAAGAGUGGCAGAGUCAGGCCUGGAGCCCAGGAAGUCUGGUUUCGAAUUUCAUGCUUCUAACCUGAGCACUGUACUGCUUGGUGGAGUUCUCUGCUAGUCCUACCUUUCAGGCAGAGGUGAUGCAGCAAGAAAGCUGCCACCAGAUGCAGCCCCUUGAUCUCGGACUGCCCAGCCUCUAGAACUGUGAGCCAAUUAAAUUUUUCCUUUGUAAAUUACCUAGUCUCUGGUAUCCUGUUAUAGCAGCAUAAACAGGCUAAGAUAGUAAGACAGUAGGGAAACAAGCUCCAGAUGUACUUGAAGUCUCUUGUUCUUAUUUUAGGAGUUGAAGAGCAAUUCCCUCCAGUUUCCAUUAGAAAUGCUUCUUCUUCCAUAUCAAAUAUUGUGAGAUAGCCUGAAACACCUUUCAACACUUUACUACCCUUCUCCAAAAUUCAACAGAUAUGAUUUCCACGGACUUUACUCACAGGGGCUUCAGUAGAAGAGGAAGAGGCUUGGGUUUAAUUGAAGGUGGCCUGAGACAUCUGUGAGGAACAGCCCUUUUAGAGACAUAUCCCCUACAAAUAAAGCAUCAGAAUUAUUAUCCUAA